rnacentral:rRNA from 1 species
GUGGGGAAUUUUGGACAAUGGGCGCAAGCCUGAUCCAGCAAUGCCGCGUGCAGGAUGAAGGCCUUCGGGUUGUAAACUGCUUUUGUACGGAACGAAAAGCCCUGGGUUAAUACCCUGGGGUCAUGACGGUACCGUAAGAAUAAGCACCGGCUAACUACGUGCCAGCAGCCGCGGUAAUACGUAGGGUGCGAGCGUUAAUCGGAAUUACUGGGCGUAAAGCGUGCGCAGGCGGUUUUGUAAGACAGAGGUGAAAUCCCCGGGCUCAACCUGGGAACUGCCUUUGUGACUGCAAGGCUAGAGUAGGGCAGAGGGGGAUGGAAUUCCGCGUGUAGCAGUGAAAUGCGUAGAUAUGCGGAGGAACACCGAUGGCGAAGGCAAUCCCCUGGGCCUGUACUGACGCUCAUGCACGAAAGCGUGGGGAGCAAACAGGAUUAGAAACCCUAGUAGUCC